rnacentral:rRNA from 1 species
AACGAACGCUGGCGGCAUGCCUAACACAUGCAAGUCGAACGAGACCUUCGGGUCUAGUGGCGCACGGGUGCGUAACGCGUGGGAACCUGCCCUUAGGUUCGGAAUAACUCCCCGAAAGGGGUGCUAAUACCGGAUAAUGUCUUCGGACCAAAGAUUUAUCGCCUUUGGAUGGGCCCGCGUUGGAUUAGCUAGUUGGUAGGGUAAAAGCCUACCAAGGCGACGAUCCAUAGCUGGUCUGAGAGGAUGAUCAGCCACACUGGGACUGAGACACGGCCCAGACUCCUACGGGAGGCAGCAGUGGGGAAUAUUGGACAAUGGGCGCAAGUCUGAUACAGCAAUGCCGCGUGAGUGAUGAAGGCCUUAGGGUUGUAAAGCUCUUUUACCCGGGAUGAUAAUGGCAGUACCGGGAGAAUAAGCACCGGCUAACUCCGUG